AAAAUCAGAAAAGAAAAGUGAGUAAUGGAUGUUAUUUCAGCUCUCGAAGCCUGUUGUCCUUAUCUGUGAUGGUAACGAUUGUACAUGCCUCAUCUUGCUGUGGCAGGGAUGAAAUGAGAUAAUGUAUAGACAUUGUUUAUUAUAGAACAAAUACCUAGUUGAAGUUGUAUUAAAAUUAAGGCUUUAAACUUGAGUACAUACACUUUUGCUUAAUUCUAAAUUUAUUUUUCAUUAGCAUUUUAUCAGCAAACAUUUAAGCUGUAUUCAUUUCUAGAGAUUUUAUUCCUUAUAACUGUAAGCUCUGUACUAUCCAAGAUAAUACUUUGCUUCCUAGAAUUUGAAUUCCUUAACAAUCUCGCCCUUUUGCACAAUCCAUAGGAAAUCACUCCCACUAAAUUCCUACCAGCCUUCGCCCACUUUCAUGAGGCAAGGAGUAAGUAGGUCUGUAUUUGUAUUAAUUAUGGAGACAUUCAAGGGAAGGUUCAUCAUUAUCAUUAGCAGGAAAUAUAAUGAAUUAGAAACCCUUGAAUUAGACUAAAAAGAGUGUGGGCUAUGUUUAAAAGUAUGAAUCAGAGAAGGUAAAGAUUAAUUUUAAAGGGCAGAAUUUUGUUUGUACAUUUAGGUUACUUCAAUUUCAGAUCAGUCCUAUGUAUGCUUUCUAGGAAAGAAAUCAAAGACCACUUGGAUUUUUUUUGUCUUUACAUGUGUUUUUCCAAAGGAAGAGGACAGAGGAUGAAUGCCAAAACUAUUACUGCAGCUACCCUGGACACUUAAGAACCCCCAAAGAGAUGGAGGAUGGAAGGAUGUAGAGCCUGGGCACUGGGUCCAGUGCUGACAUGGAACACAUUCAUUCUUAGAGUUCCACUGCAAACACUCCAAGGAUAGAGGGUGAGAAGGUUAGAUGGACAUGAGAGGAAAAGGGUGGAAGAGGAGAGAGAAGCAUUGGUGUCUAGGUGUCAUGGUCACUUUAUGUACUUUUGCAUUUCCAUGGCGAAAGGAGAGUCCCAGGAUGGAUGGAUAGAUGGAUAGAUUAGAUAGAUAGAUCAGGUAGAUUAAAUAGGAUUAGAUUGAGUGAGUGAGUGAGUGAGUGAGUGAGAAGAGGUAACCUCUGCCACUUGCUGAUAAGUGCCAAAAAUCUUACCAUUCAAGUAUGGGCUAUUCAGUUUAAGAAUUCCAAUAUCUUAAAAUCCAGAUAAUUGGUUAUAUAAAUAGAGAGGGACAGCUUGGAUGGCUAUAUUUUAUUUUUAGUUAUGCAUAUCUUAGGGAAAAUAUUAUAAAGGUUUAUAAAUAUAAAAAUGAUAAUAAAAUCAGUUGAGAGGGUUCAAGAUUGAAUGGUUCAGGGUAGCUAAAGCAAUUUUUUACACUUUCUCUGGGCUGCUCCUAGACGCUCCACCAGAAAGAAUUAAUCCUUAAAGCACUUAAAACGGACGUGAGGAAGAUAAUAAAGCCUGUCCAGGGUACAGACAUCCAGAUUCGUGAUUUAAAGUGGGAAGGCUUUAGAGACCUUGUCUAACAGGACUAAAGAGUAGCCUUAUGGUUUUAAAGUAGGUACAUUGUUUUUUGUAAGCAUACCUAGGGUUGUAUAAGACAAAUCAGGGUCUGAUGUAUUGAACACAGUUAGUUCUUAUUCUGCCGUAUCUGUUUUUAAUUCACAAUUUUUAAAUGGAUUUACUGGUCACAUUUCUCAGGUCAUGGCGAGAUAUUUUUAGUCUUAAACAAACUUAUUUAGCUUAGUACUUCUAGAUCAGUGGUUCUCUGUCCUGAAGGUGUAGCAAAAUUGUUUGAUAGCUUUUGCAAAAUUCAUAUACCCAGCAGCCUCCCCAUCAACUGAAUAAGAAUUGCCCUGUGGCUAUGGCAGAGGCAGUCCAUGGGAUUAGAAAAAGCUACCCUGGUCAUUCUAUUGCCACCUUCUCACUAGGAGAAUUGCCGAUCCAAGUGGGACCUAUAUUGCUCAGUAACCAAAGAAAUGAGCAGAUAGUUUAAGUAAUGCUGAGUCUCAGUUAAACUGGCAAAAUUGUUUGGCAUCCUAUUGGAACAAAUCUGCUUUAGCUGUCACAUAGAUUACACUUAGCUCCUAUCUUGCUAAAAGAGGAGCCCAUAUACAUUUAGGCAAUAAAAUGCCUUUUUAUUUACUAACUCUUAAAACUAAGAUCUUAUGGUCUUUAAUUAUUUUGUUUGGAGAACUUUUGGUGUUUAUUCUUGAAGUUCUGAGCAAAAGGCUGUUUUAAAGUUAGGUUAAAGUUUGUUGUCUCCACAGGGAAUUAUUCGUUAUUUGAGAUUGUUUGCUUAGUAUUUACUUGUCACUGUUUUACAUGUUAACUUUACAGUUAUUUAAAAGUGAUAAGUUUCCAAGGCAUGUAGGGGUCCUGUCACUUUGAGAAAAAUUUAUGGUAGUAAAAUAUUUUCUUUUUGUAAAAAGUCACUGAUAUACAAUGUCUCCCCAGGGUGUAAGCCUUGGUAUUUAUCUAUUUUAAUUAAAGAGUACUCUGCCUGUCUAGUUGUGGCUAACUUAAAAGAAGUGGGUAUCUUGGUGAGAAGUUCAUAAGGUUGAUAGCCACAGCUGAGUGGUGGAUUGACCCAAGCUCUAGUCAGCAGUGGUAUAUGAAUGCCAAGUACUAAGAAUUUCUGGAAUGUGGAAUUGCACAGCACUGAUAAAGUUUGCUUUGUUCCCCUAUGUGACUUGACCCAUUGAGAAAACUGGUUCCCUAGGAAGUUUUAAUAGUUCAAAGUCCUUAGUUAAUAAAGAAAAAGGCCACAACAUAAUUCAGCUUGUUUUCACCUGCUGACUCAAAGAUUAACUUUUUUAACCUUAAUGGAAUAGAGUUACCUUUGCUUUGAAAAAGUAAUUUAUGGAGUUCUUCAUAUUUGUUAGUUUCAGUAAACAUGAUGCUUUUUGUGUGGAUUUUAUUUUUGUUUCAGGUUUGCUAUCACAACUACUAAGAUUUAUGCAAUUUAAGAACCUUAAGGUAACUUCAUCUGAAAACAAAUCUCAGGGAAAGGCACCCCCACUUUUCUGUAUCAACUUAAUCUUUCACUAGACUCAGAAUGGUUUUGAAUUACUUCAGGAAAGUAGUGACUGAUAGAGCUUAACCUUCAGUUUUCCUCAUUUAUUUUCAUAAGAGAAUGGGAGUGGAAUUCAAAACAUUCAAAUUUGGAGUUAAUGUGCGUCACUGUUGUGAGUGAUAGGUUCUGUGUUUUUCCAGUGGGAAACUUUGAUCCACAAACUGAUAUACGCCUGUGUUAUACCUCGUUAUUCUUUUCUGUUUUUCUCCUGAUUGUUGCUUACUCCUUCAAAAAUCAGCUGACUGUACAAGUCCUCUCUGGGAGCAGACUUUUGAGCAAAAGAGAUCUAUGAAAGCAGCACCUUGGACUUCAGUUUAUUCAUUCCUGAACUGGGCAUAAAAAUAUUUGAUCUUGGGACAUGGAAUGAGCAGUAACUGGAAGGGGGACACAAGGGAUCUUCUGGAAUUCUGAAUAACAAUCUGAUGUUGGUCGCUUUUUUUCUGAGCCCCUGGGAAUUUGGACAAUGAAUAACUUCAAUUUUAAAAUCAUCUAUAUUCGGCUUUUGGUUUUUCAUCUUUCCUGUUCCCUUUAGAGAUAGCACAUGGGCACUGCUUUUCUGGGAGUUAACACUUAAGACAUAUUAUGUGCUUAAAAAAUUAGUCACUAAUGUGUGUUUUCAUGACAUCUUGCUUUCAAAUGUCAUUAUUUCUCAUUUCUUAGAGGUCACUGUACUAAAAAAUACAAAGUCCUAAAUGGCAAGAAUUCACUGUAAAAGAUAGCUUGUCACAUUAUUCUUGAAGUAGAUAUACAUUUCUAUUUUCCCUCACAAAGUUUAUAGACUCAACAAAGAAAUGAAGAGGCCUUGAACAGAAAUGCCCUUAAGUCACUGCAGAAAGGUAAUUACCUCUCUUUUUCUUAAAAAUGUCCAGAAGUCUACCCAGGUCUCUGCUGGUAAUGGACUGGGUUACCGCCAACCCUCAAGCCGACAUAAAACCCUUCAGCUCUCUCACUGUCACAUUUUUCUUUCCCCUGGAAAAAUCAGCUUCUCUUCUCUUUGCCAAACAAUAUCCCUUCUGUAAUUUUAAGUCCAUUCUUCUCAAUCCUCUCCUUUCAAAAUAAGACUGACCCAUAAAGAAACAAUCAUCUGUUUCUCGAUGUGUUUGGAGAUUUCUCCUUUUAGAGAGAAAGAAACCCUGAGAUAUGAGAUCCUGUUUCCUCCAGACCCUUUUCCUAAAAUCAGAAACAAAGGCCGCUAUAUCCCUGUAUCAGAAUUUGCAAAUCCAGUCUAAGGGGAAAAUAUGGCUUACUGCAUAAGGAUUCCUGCCCUCCUUCAGAUCAGCUGGUCUCUAGUUAAAUAAUGGCAGCCAUCAGAACCAUGCACCCUGCGCCCUGUUGCCUGGUCUGUCCAGGUCACUGUGUCAAGCACUGGGAACACCAACAGGCCCAGGGGACUGUAGUCAACAAAACCAUCUUGUUCACCUUGCACUUACGCAGUGCUUUUACGCUUAUAAGGAUCUUUAGCAAACGUGUAAUUUUUUACAAAUCUCUGAGGAUAACCUGAUAGGGAAAUAGAUUUUCUCCCCCAUUUCAUAGAAAGAGACUAUGGGACUAUUAUAAUAUCACCUUUGCAUUUUAGGAAAGUAAAGAACUAGAAUCCAGUUUCCCUUUCUCCAAGUCUUCACAACCUCUACCUGUAAGCCUCCAGUCUUAAUCCUGACAUAUCCCUGUUAUCAUCUGGAUAUGGUUUGCCUACCCCCCACCAAAAUUCUGGUGAAAUUAUCCCCAGUGUUGGAGGUGGGACUAGUGGGGAGGGUAUUUGGGUCAUAGGGGCAGAUCCUUCAUGAAAAGAUUAAUGCCCUCCCUCAUGGGUGAGUGUUUAGUUCCUGAGAUAAACAUUUAUUUUAAACAGUGAGGCAACUCCUUCCCCACUCUUUUGCUUCCUCUCUCACCACGUGAUUUCUGCAUGCACCUGUUCUCCUUUGCCUUCUGUCAUGAGUGGAAGCAGCCCGAGGCCCUCACCAGAUGCAGAUGCCCAGUCAGGAUCUCUCCAGCCAUCAACAUCGUGUGCCAAAUCGAUCUUCUUUCUUUAUAACUACCCAGUGUCGAGUAUUCCUUUAGAGCAACACAAAACAGCCUAAGACAAUAUCAUAAUAAGUCUACUUGUUUGAUUCUCUCAUCUCCUAUAAUCUUUCACUGCAGAUGUUAUAGAACCAGAGCACAAAUGCCAGUUGAGUUUAAGGUCAGAACCCAAAUAAGCUCUUUUUUAAAGCUAUUCUCAGGUGACCAGUUAAUAGUACUAAAUUUCUUUCUCCAAGAAGUUUGAACUUAAUGAUAAUCCUUUGGAAGUUUUCAUUCUAUUGGGGUCGAUAGUAGGCAAAGUCAAAAAUACAAAGUUUCAGGAAAAUCAUCAAUCAACUGGGCAAAUAUGAAACUAUCCAGUGAGGAAUAGAGCCUGCCAUUACAAGUGUUGUAUAGUAAAGCAGUAUAUAAAAUACCAUGGAGUAAAUCUCUUAGUCUCCAACUGGCUAAGUCCCAGAUAUCAUCUUUUUCCUAAGCCAAUCGAAAAGCAGGUUUUCAGCAUGAUCACUGUUAUUUCUCACCACUGCUGUGAGUGACUCUAAGAACAUCAUUAACAAAGAACAUCGUCCCAGGAUAGCUGCCACCCACAUAAUCCCCAGGAUGGCUAAUAAGUGUCUCUGUCUGCCUUGGUAUUUGUCCUUGCCAAUACACUAUCAACAAAACAAAUGUACUUCAGGAUGAGCAGGCUCAUCAAAGUUUGUGGAGUCAUGGUGUCUGAUUUUUAGAAUAAAUGAUAUUAUUUAUACCAACAAUAAAAAAGGGUUUGUUGUUUGUAUCGUAUAUGCGGGGCUCUGGGCUUGGCCUGAAUGAUACAAGAUGGCACCAGACACAUAUUUUUACCUGAAGGAACUGACAAUAUAACUGUGGAUGCAAGACUUGGAUCUAAAAAUUGAAAGUGCCAUUGCAAUAUAGUACAUUCAUGUGUCACUUAAUGAUGGAAGUAUGUCUUGAGAAACACUUCGUUAGGCAAUUUCAUCCUUGUGAGAACAUCAUGGCGUACUUACACAAACCUAGAGGGUAUAGCCUCCUCCAUACCUAGGUUAUGUGGAGUAGUCUAUUACUUGCAGGCUACAAACCUGCACAGCAUGUGACUGUGCUGGAUGCUGUAGGCAAUUGUAACAUUAGUAUUUGUGUAUCUGAACGUAGAAAAAGUAUGUAAAAAUACAACAUUAUAAUUUUAUUUGUUUGUAAUUUUAUACAGUAUUGUAAUUUAUAAUACCAUCACAUGAGAGGUCCAUCAUUGAUGGAAACAUCAUUAUGUUAUGCAUAACUGUACCUUAAAUCCAGAAUGAGUGAUGUGGCAUAUAAGCAUAUGGGAGCUCAUAGGCUGGAACAGUUUGGAGAGUUAAAGCAGGCGGGAGAGCCCAUUAACUCUGGGUCUCACACAGAAUUUACUGUCUACAUUUACUCAUUCAGUCCUCAACAUUAUCGUAUGAGACAACAUACUGUUAUGGCCUGUGUUCUUCUUCUGUUUUGCAGGUGAAAAAAUUGAGGCUUGGAGGUAAGUAACUUGCCUAGAUCACACACCUGGUGUUCAGACAGUCUGAUGCUGGAAUGCUAGCUCUUAACCAUGUUGUAGAUAGAUGAGGAAACAGCCACCCUUCCCUGAAUGUGAAGAUGAUUGGGAAAGGGACCCAUACAAAAGCUCUGGGAGAAAGAUCCAUGUAGCCAAUAAACUCUGCUAACUGGAGUUAAUGAUGAAACACUGCAGAGGCCAUCCAGGAUGGUGGCUGACUUUGCCAGUCCAACCCCAGUUGUCAAGGAUGACUAAAGACACACAGCACCAGGAAAGGAACAUGGACAAGUCAAGCAGACAGCAUCCUCCAGUACACCAGAGUUUAUGGAGAGAACUCUGAAUAACAAGCCUGGCAAGAUAAAUAUAUUAAUAUAUAUUGAUAUACCAGGGUACCAAAAGUAUAACUCCCAUACAGGACAGGGUACAGAUCAUGAGGUAACUGAGUUAAUGAGAGCAGGAUAUGGAGGCCUGGGGAACCCAUCCCCAGAGUACAGGAGGCACUGUGGCGAGGGUCAGUGGCAGCUGCCAGGAGGAAGGUUAGCCACAAGAACUAAUAGUCAGAAGUUAUGGCAUGACCUUUUUAACAUUAAGUUAAACAAGGUACACCGAACUGCCACCUGGUAGGAAAGGGCACUGGAUUUGUCAUCAGAGUGAGAUGUACUCUGGAAAGAGGGAAAACAAAGUCCAGUGCUAAGGUCCAAAGACAGAGACCAAGUAGCAGCAAAAUUGAGUUGAUUCCAAGUCAUAUCUUUCCUGGCAAAAAGCCUUGACAUCUCUUUUUUUCUGGGUCAGAAUUGAGGAAAAAGCCCAAGAUGAGAUUGAUUGAAUCUAUAUGUAAGAAUCAAAGACCCCUAGUUGUGGUUUAAUAAGUCUUCAGAAGAUGGGAACUAAGCAGCACCUAUAAUAAUUUCUAUUCAUUUCUAGCAAUUCUAUUCAUUUCUAGCAAAUAUUUAUUGGGUGUCUACUAUGUGCCAGACACUCCUACAAGCGAAGGACUACAGUAGUGAGAAAGACAGGUCUCUGCUGUCUUGGCACUUAUGUUCCAGAGGGAGCAUAAUUAAAUAAAUUAAGAUGAGGCAAAAAAACUGUUUUAAAAAGUUUUGCAAAGGCACAGAGGCAGGAAAUGUCAUGGGUUGUUUGAACGAGAAAUAAUUAGUCUGGUUGCAGCAAAAUGUUUAUGAAAGGAAUCUAGGGAAUUCAUCCAUGCACUGAAUUCAGAAUCACCAAAAUGGUGCAGGUUGGAGCUCAAUGAGCCCACAGACCACCUGCCCAGCCCCUCCUGUCUGCAGAGGAGAAUUGGAGUGUCAGAAAAUGGGGGUGAGUGGAAGUAUGAAACACAGAUCUUAGUGAAGACAGGCCCUAAUGCCAUUUAUUUGAUGAAAAUUCUGCAAAUCGUUAGUCCACUAGAUUGUUGAGUGGUUCAAAGAAAUGCAGUGGUCAUGGGAGCUGGAUCCAGGCCGCCUUCUUUUACCCUUAUCUGUGACCUUGGGCAAACCCCUGAGAUUCACUGAAAGCCUGGAGGCUGAUGCUCCCAAAAGCCCCUUCCAAUUCAGAACUCCUUUAAUGCUUUAAAUGAUUCUAGCCCAGUGUAUAAGUCCAUUUUCGCACUGCUAUAAACAACUGGCCAAGACUGGGUAAUUUAUAAAGGAAAGAGGUUUAAUUGACUCACAGUUCAGCCUGGCUGGGGAGGCCUCAGGAAACUUACAAUCAUGGCAGAAGAUGAAAAGGAAGCUUCAAGCUGAGAUUUAGGUAGGGACACGAAGCCCAAUCAUAUCACUCAGUUAUCAGUGAUGACUCUUCAGAGGUAUCAGCACAAGCUGGGGAACAAGGCAACACGCAACCCAGCAGCAGGAUUCAGGUUCUGGUCCUGAUGGUGGGCCCUGCUGUGGUCUUGAACAAAUUACGUAAUCCCUUAAUGUCCUCGUCUACGAAGCGUGGGGUUGCACCAGACCAUUACCAAGCCACCUCUCAGUUCGAGUCUUCUUUGAGUCUAGAUUCUUACCUCACUUUGACAGUGAAAAAAGACAAACACAUGACUUUUUUUAAAAAAAAAGAUACCAGCUCUCAAUGAAAACAUCUUAAACAGCAUUAAUUGCUUGCUCCUUUACAUCUCAUCUCCUAUGCUAUACUUUGUAAUUUUAUGGAGUCAGUGGUAUAUAAAAUUUCAGUUACAAUGCUUGCUUUCAAUGCUCAUGCAGCAUUUAAAUAAAUGCAUUUUUAAGUAAAAUGAAAGAAUACAGGGUCUAGAAAGAAGACAAAAGUCAAUAAAUUAUUACAUCUACUUAUCACAAAUUAAAUGCAUUGCAUUGUGUAAACAGGAUUCUAAUACAACCAAGCCCCUUCAGGUAGUUCCCCCACAUGGCUCUAUAAAUGCCAUUAGCACCCUCGGUCAGCUUUAUAGCGCAUAUGAAUGUGCUUGUUCUAACAAUACCAUCAACUGUUUCUGAACCAAAAGCUGUCAAGAUUUCCAUUUCCUUUAUUCUAAGUGAGAAAAAAAAAACAAACCCAACUCUAAGUGAGAUUUGUAAUUGGAGAGAAAAGUGACAGAAUAUUGGCUAAUUUGCUUCCCUAAGGCCUCUUAGAAGUCCUUGCUUAGGGUCUGACUGUUUUAUUAUCCCAGUUUUCUUUUCUCUGCUAAAAUCAUGGUGACAAUUCAAGUUAAAUCUUGCUGCUAUAAAAAUAUUUUUUGUUUGCUUCAGGAAAAAGAACCCAAGUGUACAAACAAAAGUCAGAAAAUAUAAUAUGCACAUUUCCAUAUUCAUUCAUGGCCGGCAUCUUUUAGCAUUGCACUUAAAUUUCUGCAAUGUGACUUCUAGAGUGCAUAAAUAAUAGUAGCUAGCGUAUAUUGAGCACUGACUCUAUGCCAGGCACUGCGCUAAAUGAUUUAUAUCUAGUGUCUCAUCCAAUCUUCCCAACAAACAAAUCUUGGAAGCAGUCAAAUGCAUUGACCUCUCAAAGCCAGCUCUGCCUCCUAGUUUUGCUAUUUCAGUACCAUGGUCCCAUCACUCCACCUGCUAUGUAGGCCUGAGAAUUCAGUUAUUCUUAUCAAAAGAAAUUCAGAGACUCACCCUCUUGUGCAAUGUCUCUCACAUAUGUGUUUUCACUUCCUUUUGCUUGUUCACCUCAUCCCUUCCUUCCCCACCGACCUCCUCUUUUAUUUAUCAAAAUGCUGCUGGUGCAGAAAUUCCUAGCCUAAAUCUCCCUCCUCACUGCCCACUUUCUCUAUACUCUGUCCCUGCCCCUCCCACAUCCACACACCUACACACCUGUUUUCUGACUGACCUUGUCCUGGGUAAUCUUGUCCAGCAAUAAAGCCCACUCCCUCCCACAGCAAGCACUGACUUGGUUAUGCAGUUGGCAUUUUUACUUAUGCUUACUGCCAGCAAUUUCCUCUGAUCUUUAAGUCUUGUCUCUCCAAAUAAAGAGAAAUUCCUUGAGGGUAGGACCAUCUCUUCUGCAGUCACUAGCUCAGGGGCCAAGAAAAGAAAAUCAGGAAUAGCUAAAGAAGUCAUGUAUGUGGGAUAUAAUAAACUAAGCAGUAUUAAACAUAUUAACCAUAUAUAGUGUUUACUAGGGGGUCAGACAUUGUCCUAAGCACAUCAGAUACAUUAACAACAACUGUUAAAUGUAGUCAUUGUUACAUAUCUCUGUUUCACUAAUGAGAAAACAAAGUCACAGAAAGCUAGGUAACUUUCGCAAGGGCACAAAACUGGCAAAUAAUGAGGUGAGCCAGGCUAUCUGAUUUCAACAUCUAGUUUUCUUGAGAAACCAAAAAAAAAAAAAAUGAAUUGGGGCUGUCUUCCUCAAACACAUUUUCUCCCUCAAAUUUUCUAUUUUCUGUAGAAAAUGAAAUAUAUUUUAUAUUCCCUUUCAUUACAGUUUCAAUAUCUGAAAAAAAUAAGAAAACAGUUGGCCAGAAAUAACCACAAACACACUAGGUGCCUGCCAUAUCCCUGUCAGCAAAAUUUUAGCCCUUCCUGAGUGAAAGGAGAGCUGGAAUUAAAAUUCAUCCUCAUGACUUAGGCAUGUCUGAAACCUCCUGGCUUUCCUUCUUUUAAACAAGUCGGCCGCAUUUAACUUUCUGAUAUAAUAUUUUAAGAACAUCAUUUUGUAAAUAUAUACAACUAUAAUUUGUCAAUUUAUAAUUUUUAAAAAUAAAAAUUAAAAGGAAGCAUCAUUUUCUUCCUCAGAAGCCUUCAACAGCUCACCACUAUCUAUGUGAAUGUGUGUUUGACUUCCGUAGCCUCAGGUGCAAACAUUGCAUCAGCAUAAGGUCCAGUCAGCAGAUGGCAGAAAAACCAGUAAUCUGAGCUGGUAAAAUUUAAUAUAAAGAAUUGUUAACUAGGUAAAGAUAGUUAAGUACUAAAAGGUAUAAAAGAGAAUACUAAGAUAUUCAAAGGUAGCAACUCCAGAAAGCAGUUACUAUCCCUAAGGCCAAGGGAAAGUGAAUAAGGAAGGAAUGUGGAAAUUUAGAGGAAAGAGCUCUGCAAGACUUAGAAAUAUUCAGCUUCUGUGAGAAGGCAUGGAUGCACAGAGAUACACAUCUGACUGCUGUGAGAAUGAAGAAACUUGAUGGAGAGACCACUUGGGAAUCACCCAGCACUGAACUGUGGGAGCCUGUGCUUUGUUGAACAUUACAAGGUUCUCCUCGACAUUUCCUCACGAGUCUGCUUGCUACUGCCCAGAAAUAACACAUGCUGGGCUUAGUACCUAGGUGAUGGGUUGAUAGGUGCACCAAACCACCAUUGCACAAGUUUACCUAUGUAACAAACCUGCACAUCCUGCACAUGUACCCCAGAACUUAAAAUCAAUUAAAAUUCUGCAACUUCAAAUUUUGUACCAGAUGGAAAUUAUAUUGAUUUAAAAUGAAAAUUGUAGGUAAGCUCCAUUUGUACCCUUGUCUCUGUUAGGAGUGGUCCUGUGAGGGCACAGAGGGAGUGUUGAGGAAGAAGAUAACCAACAGGACAACAUUUUGGUGGGGGUGAGCGAUUUGUUUUCUUCUGAGCUCUUCUUUUGUAUUCUUUUUAAAUAAAAUAUAACAGUAUUCAAGGUAAAGGGGGAAAAAAAGCAUACUCAGUGAAACAAGGAAAGUCCUUUUUUCCUGCCAUUAACACCCUGCAAUCUCUUUUUAGCAUCUUCUACUGACAGAGUUUAGCAUCGAAUCAGAGAGCAAAGGAGAAGUGUCUGCAGUGUCCAGCUCCAGUAUUACAAAGGAAGGCAAAGAAGAGUGGGUUUGGAGCUGAGAUGUACUGUUCUUUCCUUUGCCUUUAAAAAAAGAGUAUCAAAGGUCCCCACACCAGUUGGAAGUGACAUUUCUUUCUUCUGAACUCCUAUUUUACCUGUUUUGGAGACCAAUCAUGUAACACUAAUAGUGCGUUACUAGAUAUUCUAAAUAUUCUCACAUAAUGUGUGUUUCCCUCAUACUAGAUGACAAAUUCCUAAAGGAAGAUUUUCUUUGAAAAUUUUUGUGUUAAAUACAGAAAUGGCAUUUAAAAUGUAUAGCUUCACUACUUAUUAUAAAUAAAGUGAAUAUCCUUGUAACCACCAUCAUGUUAAGACAAAGACAGAAUGUGGUCAGCAUCCCAGGGGUCUUCCAUGUGCCCUUCCCAAUGACAGCCCCCACUUCUGCUACCAAGAGUAACCACUGGCUUUUACAAUAAUCAUUUCUUAACUUUUCUUUAUUACCCAAGUACAAUUCCCUAAACCUUAUAGCUCAUCUAUAUUUUUUAAUAUCUUUUAAAUCACUCAAUUUAUGCUUUCAUCUCUGUCCUUUUCCCACUAUAUUUUAUUUGUGUAAGAAACUGGAUCAUUUAUCCUAUAGAAUUUCUAAGAGUUUAUUGCAUUCCCAUGGUGUAGUUUAAUAUGUUCCUCUGUCCUAUGUAUUUUUUUGUAAAUUGUGUUUUCUGUAAAUCAAAAGGCACAAUCAGAUGUAGAUUCAAAAAUUUUAAUAAAACUUGUUUAAAGAAUUUUUUUUGUGUUAGGGAGUACAUGAUAUUUAAUUUUCUUUUUGUGAUGUCAGCUACCAUUGAUGUUCAUUAUCCAAGGCCUUUAACUCACUAGGGGUUGCAUACUGGUGACAUUCCAACUCUAUGAUUCCUUGUCCAUUUAUUUAUUGGGAUCCUUCUAUAGAGAAAAGCUUCCCCUUAUCUACUAUUUGGUUACCCAGUGUUGCAUUUCAUAUA